AUUGAAAAGAGAACAAAGUGUUUUAUUUUGAUUUAUAGUACCUGGCUGAUAUUGAGGAUCAUCUUGGUGUGACUAUUCAACAAUGUUCCUCAGAUAUGAAAAUACCAGUUGAUGAGUUUGAUGGUAAAGUAACAUAUGGUCAAAAAAGGCGAAUGACAGGUGGUUUAUACAAGGGACAUGCUGACAUUCUGGCACCAACUGUGAAGGAACUUGCUGAGUUGGAGAAAGAAGCACAAUCAUCUUUUCUUCACCUGUGUAAUAAGAAGACAACUUUGUUUGGACUGUAAUUGCUACACUUAGCACCUCAAUAAACUGUCAUUAUACACUGCAAAC